UACGUAGGGUGCGAGCGUUAAUCGGAAUUACUGGGCGUAAAGCGUGCGCAGGCGGUUAUUUAAGUCAGGUGUGAAAGCCCUGGGCUUAACCUAGGAAUUGCGCUUGAGACUGGAUAGCUUGGAGUGCGGCAGAGGGAGGUGGAAUUCCUGGUGUAGCGGUGGAAUGCGCAGAUAUCAGGAAGAACACCCGUGGCGAAGGCGGCUCUCUGGGACGGUACUGACGCUGAGACGCGAAAGCGUGGGGAGCGAACAGG
rnacentral:rRNA from 1 species